GACGAACGCUGGCGGCGUGCUUAACACAUGCAAGUCGAACGGAAAGGCCCUGCUUUUGUGGGGUUCUCGAGGGGCGAACGGGUGAGUAACACGUGAGUAACCUUCCCUGUGCUUUGGGAUAACUUCAGGAAACUGGGGCUAAUACCUGAGUGGAGCGCCUGCUGCAUGGUGGGGGUUGGAAAUUUUCGGCUGUUGGGGCUGUACUCGCGGCUUAUCAGCUUGUUGGUGGGGUAGUUGCUUACCAAGGCUUUGACGGGUAGCCGGCCUGAGAGGGUGACCGGCCACAUUGGGACUGCGAUACGGCCCAGACUCCUACGGGAGGCAGCAGUGGGGAAUAUUGCACAAUGGGCGGAAGCCUGAUGCAGCAACGUCGCGUGCGGGAUGACGGCCUUCGGGUUGUAAACCGCUUUCGCCUGUGACGAAGCGUGAGUGACGGUAAUGGGUAAAGAAGCACCGGCUAACUACGUG
rnacentral:rRNA from 1 species